UUCUCAUGGCAACAAAGUCAAUAUCAUCUGCAACAACAGAGAUAAUAGCUAUUAUCCGGCUUUACAAUAUGGCAAUUCUGUUGCAGCUUAUGGUGAUGACCGCAGUCGUAGUUUCAUUUUCGACUGGUUUGUAUGUUACUUUAGCACAUUCUGUUGGUCUCGCCGUACUGUCUGUGUCAUAGGUGCCAUCUCUUUUUAUGUAGUCUUCUUUAUGAUGAUUCUUCCAGAAAAUUAACAUCCCAAGAGAAGGAACCUAAUUUCCAGCUAUCAACUAUUGAUCUUUUUUCCAUCUUCAUAUUUGAUGAUGUCCCUACAUAAUUAAUGUACUUAAACACUAUACCUUUACUUUUUCAGUAUAGACAAAUUGCAAGCUACUGUCAAUUAAUCAAUCAUGUUAUAAGGCUAUCAACAUCAUUUUCAUAACAGCUGUGAAGUUCACUAUCAUAAAUAGAUAGCUCCCACGACUAAAUGUAUUUGAGCCGCUUUAUAAUAUCUUUGACUAUUCUUUCAUCUCAUGGAGAGCAUUGGAGUAAUUGAUAAAGUUGUUAUCAUGUGAUCAGGAGGUCACGGAUAAUUAAUUAAUAAAUAUCCAAUGAACUUGAAAGUCGUUUGCUUUCUCGAGGUGAAACAACAACAACACACUCAGUAUAUCCCCACUAAGUGGAGUCUUGGGAGGGUAAGUGUACGCAGUCCAUACCACUAUCUCCGGUGAGAUAAAGAGGUUGUUUUCGAUAUACUCCCGACUCAAGAACUUUCUCAAGGUGAAACAUUAUAUAGAAAUUAAAAGUUGACCCUGUCUUUCCUUAGUACUAUAUAUAUCAGGGUCUUAUUUUGAUUUGCAUAGAACUUCUUAAGGUUAAAUAAAAAAAAGUAAUGGAUCCAAUCCUGUACAAUGCUGCGAUGGAAGGGAAUACAGGAAAUGGUGAAUUUCCUAACAACCCUUCCCCAGACCCUGCUCAUAUCGGAAGCUUUAAUGCACCGGCUUGCCUUUCUCUCUCUCUGUGUGUAUGUGUGUUAGACAGAGAGGGAGAAGAAGAGAGAAAAGUCGCUAAAUGUCAACGAAUAUAAUAUUUUGUAUCCAUAAUUUCUAAAGUACAAUAAUUAUAGCUUUAAGAAUUUCAAAGGUUGAAUCUUUCAAGUUUAAGUCUUACAGAUGACGGUUUUUAUCUAUGUCUGGAUCUUCGGAUAGCAUGUAUCCUGGAAAUGAAGAGCAAGAUGCGGCAAGCGAAUCUGAGAUGGUCUGGGCAGGUAAAGGCGAGAGGAGUUGAUGCACCAUGUGGAGCUUCGAGAGAUUGGCUAUGAAUAGUUUCAAGAGAGGUAGAGUAGACCAAAGAAGUAAUGGGAAGAGCUGAUGAGACAAGACAUGAUAUAGUUUCAGCUAACUGGGGACGUGACCUAAGACGAGAAGUUAUGGAGGACAUGAAUACGGAGGUCACGGGUUCAAGCCUCAGAAACAACUUCUGGCAGAACUGCAAGGUCAGGCUGCGUACAAUACACCCUUGUGGUGGUGCCCUCCCCCGAACCCUGCGCAUAGUGGGAGCUUUAGUGCACCGGGCUGCCCUUUUUUUGUCAUGCUCUCUAUAGUAUUUUUUCAUGGCUUUUCCACUUCUAACCUUUCUUUUUUGAACUGCUUUGAAUUGUUUUUCCUUGCGCUGAAGGUUUAUAAAAAUUCCGAAACCUCUUUGCCUUUCAAUGUAGGUUUAAUAUCUACGUAUACUCUAUCCUUUCGAAACUCUACUUGAGGAAUAUCACUGGGUAUAUUGUUGUUGUUGUACCAUGAAUUAUUUAGUGAAGGUACAUUGGUUUAUGCAAUUGUUGGUGACAAAAUGCAACCACUUAUAAUUUGAAUAGAAGAAAAUGAUCUUACAUAGAUUGUUAUAUCAUGUGAAAGAGGAUGUAUAACUAAAAUAACAUCUGUCAUAUGUAAUUCAAGGUAUUGGGUAAAAACUGAAAUAUGUUGCUGAAUUAUAUAUUUGCAAAGCAAUAAGUACAAGUAGUAGCUAGUUUUCAUGUCUCUCUACUUGCUUAUAUUCUUCAUCUUACACCAUCAUCAUUUUCCUUAAUAUAUAAAUAGAAACCAAGAUGCACAAUAAAAUAGAGAGACAACCUAUGGAACAGAUAGUAACGGCAAGACCAAGUGAAUGUGAUAAAGUAACAAACAUACCAGUUGCGAAUGCAAUUACAACUGCUAACAUUGACAAGCUCUGACAAAUAAUUGCGAGAAGAUAAAGCUUAAUUAAAAUUUUUUUAUGUUGAGGAUCUAUACUUAUAUCUGCCAUGCUGAAGUAGAUGAAUAUGGCAACAGCUGAGAAUGUGAAGGCAAUGGCAUCAGAAACAACAAAUGCACGAAAUGCUGUUUUCCUUAUUAGAAUCGCCAUCCCUUGAUUAGGGCUAUUGGGGUCACUCUCAAAACCUCCUGGCAAUGUGAUACCAGCGGCGAAAGUGACUGUCAUUAUCAAAGUGGCCACAACAAUAUGGAUCUGAGCUACGUUCAUAAGACUUUCGCCUUUUGUUUGAUAUACCUUUUUAGCUUUAUCGUGAUCAUCUUCCCUCAGUUGCAUUUUGCCUCCUGUUCCCGUUUCUGCAUUUGGAUUGGGCAUGUACUCGUACUUCCGCUUUACAUCAAAGUCACGUUUUCCAAAUCGGCCAAUGCUACACAAAUCCUCCAUCAAUUUCUCCUAUUUUCAUCAAUAGUACAGUUUAUAUUGAGUCGGUCGCAAUCAGUAUUUGAAAAACAAAUGUGCGACCGCAUACCUUAUUUGUCGUCGCUGUGCAUGACAAUGCUAUAUCAACUGGGGUCUGGUUUUGUUUGUUAAAUGACAUCUUCUUUGCUCUAGGAUGGUUUAUUAAUUCAGGCACAUGGUUACCAGAGGCAGCAAACAAAUGGAGAGGACUGUUGCCGUCACUAUCUGGCUCAUCAACAAGGCUGUUGCAAUUAUCAGAUUCUAAUAAGAAACGGACUACCUCGUCUUGAUUGUUCAAUAUGGCAACAUGAAGAGCAUUUUGUUUGUUGCUGUUAAGCAUAUCCCAACAAUCAGGGCAGUGAUUUAAUAGCUCAUAGAUCAUGUUUACAUCACCUUCACCAGCUGCAAUGUGAAUUGCUGUUGUCCAGUCAUUUUCACUGCCUGCCGGAAGGUACACUAAGGAUUUUUUCCACUCCAGCAUAUCAGAAACUACGUCUUUCAUUCCUAAUUUAACAGCAUAGUGCAGUGAAUUCCAACCCCAUAAGUCUGGUUCCUCGCAUAAAGGCUUAUUCCAAUGCCAUAGUGAUCUAAUGCAAUCUGGAUGUGUCAACACGAUAAAUGCAUAAAUAAGGGGUUAGAUCUUCUCGCAAAUAUAGUUGCACAACAGACAUUACGAAAUCAUCAACAGAUUAUGGGAAGGUCAACUGAAGUUAGAUAUUGAUAUAGCAAAUAACAAAAAUUGUAUACCUAUAUGUUCCUGAAUUACUGCUGCAUGCAGCGGCGUCCUAUUAGAUGGACCUGCAGCAUAAGUUGGUUUCUUGCAGGAUUCCAAGAUGUCAAUCAAAGCAUCAUGAAAACCAGAUUCAGCCGCCAGAUAGAGUGGCGUCUCCUGAGCAUGAUUAGGCAGAAAUUCGAAUUCAGAAUCUUCUUUCACCAAGAGCUUAACCACAUCUAGAUGUUGGCUCCGAACAGCCUUGUGCAGGGCUGUAUCUCCACUAGCAUCCGUCAUCUGCCAUAACAUUACCGGAGUAAUCUUAAGGACUUCUGCCGCGAAAUGGGAGUGGCCAUAGAGGGCUGCGACAUGAAGGACCGUGUUGCCCUUUGGAGUGACUUGGAAGCCAUUUUCUUCAUCCCUUUUCAAAUGAUCAGCAAGUAUAAAAUAGUCAUCUCUGAUAUUGCCUCUCAUCGCAGCAUUAUACAAGACUGGAUCCAUUCCUUUUGAUUUGGUGUUUUAUCCAAAAUCUCCCAAUGAUAAUCCUUUGAGUCCUUUGGUAAUCAAAAAAAUAAAUAAACAAGACACAACUAAAUGUGAACUGAUGGAUGAAAUAUAUACAUGUACUUGAUGAAGUCUACUCACCUAAGUCUUUGCAUUAGAAUAUCUUAAUAUAAUGCCAACCUGGUGUAGAAUUUCUAGGUGUGUUAUAUUUUUUUAAUAAAGUCUUUGUUGAAUCUUUA